AUUGAACGCUGGCGGCAGGCUUAACACAUGCAAGUCGAGCGAGCGGCGGACGGGUGAGUAAUGUCUGGGAAACUGCCUGAUGGAGGGGGAUAACUACUGGAAACGGUAGCUAAUACCGCAUACCAUCAGAUGUGCCCAGAGGGGAUUAGCAAGUUGGUGGGGUAAUGGCUAACGUAGGCGACGAUCCCUAGUUGGUCUGAGAGGAUGACCGGCCACACGGGAACUGAGGCACGGUGCAGACUCCGACGGGAGGCAGCAGUGGGGAAUAUUGCGCGAUGGGCGAAAGCGUGAUGCCGCCAUGCCGCGUGUGUGAAGGAGGCCUUCGGGUUGUAGAGCACUUUCAGCGAGGAGGCGGUACUCGCAGAAGAAGCACCGGCUAACUCCGUGCCAGCAGCCGCGGUAAUUC
rnacentral:rRNA from 1 species